rnacentral:misc_RNA from 1 species
AAAAGAAUGGCUUGGGUGGGCGCAAAGCCUUAAAAAGAGCUCGCCUGGGGGAGAGCACUUUUUAAGUGUCUUUGCGACUCACACGGACUACUUAACCUUGCUAAACUUAAUACAAUACAAAUAUUAAAACAAAAAGGCACUCCAAAACGGUGAACCUUGGGUUAAGUAGGGAAUUCCACCAAGCUAAAUUCAACAAACCCACCUUUUGUGAACUGUAAUGUCUCUGGCGGCUGGAAGUAUUUACUUACUUCUGUCAGCUUGAGUGUGGGACUGACUUGCUUGGUCUCUCCCUCAAGCCGUGGACAAACUGCCAAACAUGUUCUUAAACGCAAUGUGUAAAUUUUAUAUCCGACCUUUUUCUUUGUAUUUAAAUAUACAAA